rnacentral:rRNA from 1 species
AGACCGUUCUCUUCAGAGGCCGGUCAUUGGAAUGGGUACAAUUUAAACCCUUUAACGAGUAUCUAUGAGAGGGCAAGUCUGGUGCCAGCAGCCGCGGUAAUUCCAGCUCUCAAAAUGCAUAGAAUCAUUGCUGCGGUUAAAAAGCUCGUAGUUGGAUCUGUGCUGGCGGGUCGGUCCACCUUCGGGUGCGCACUGAUUUCGCCGGCUUUCCUGCUGUAUUUGGCCCUGUGCCUUUCAACGGGUGCAGUGUCCAGCGCAGCAAGUUUACCUUGAACAAAUCAGAGUGCUUCAAACAGGCGUUUCGCUUGAAUGUUCGUGCAUGGAAUAAUAGAAGAGGAUUUCGGUUCUAUUUUAUUGGUUUUAUAGACUGAGAUAAUGGUUAACAGAGACUAACGGGGGCAUUAGUAUUGCUACGUGAGAGGUGAAAUUCUUGGACCGUAGCAAGACUGACUACAGCGAAAGCAUUUGCCAAGAAAGUCUUCAUUAAUCAAGAACGAAAGUCAGAGGUUCGAAGGCGAUCAGAUACCGCCCUAGUUCUGACCGUAAACGAUGCCAACUAGUGAUCCGCCGGUGGAACAUUCGCCCUGGUGGGGAACUUCCCGGAAACGAAAGUCUUCCGGUUCCGGGGGAAGUAUGGUUGCAAAGCUGAAACUUAAAGGAAUUGACGGAAGGGCACCACCAGGAGUGGAGCCUGCGGCUUAAUUUGACCCAACACGGGAAAACUCACCCGGCCCGGACACCGUAAGGAUUGACAGAUUGAUAGCUCUUUCAUGAUUCGGUGGAUGGUGGUGCAUGGCCGUUCUUAGUUCGUGGAGCGAUUUGUCUGGUUUAUUCCGAUAACGAGCGAGACUCUGGCCUACUAAAUAGUUUACACAUUGCUUCUGUGUGCAUAACUUCUUAGAGGGAUUUUCGGUGUUCAGCCGCAAGAAAUUGAGCAAUAACAGGUCUGUGAUGCCCUUAGAUGUCCGGGGCUGCACGCGCGCUACACUGGCAAAAUCAGCGUGCUUGUCCUUCCCCGAAAGGGGUUGGUAAACUCGUGAAAAUUUGCCGUGAUUGGGAUCGGAAAUUGCAAUUAUUUUCCGUGAACGAGGAAUUCCAAGUAAGUGCGAGUCAUCAACUCGCGUUGAUUACGUCCCUGCCCUUUGUACACACCGCCCGUCGCUGCCCGGGACUGAGCCGUUUCGAGAAACUUGGAGACCGCUGAUCUGGUAGCUUCGAUUGCCAUUUUGGUGGGAACCAAUUUA